CAGGACCUGCUGAACCUGGGGCCCUAUAGGAGAGCACUGAUGGCCCACCCCUGAUUGUGGCCCUGGUCUUCAUGUCUGCAUCAGCCUCAGCCAUCUCAAGACCACAACAGGAACAUAGCCAAGUCAGAGAAGGAAGACCAAAAGCACCAGGGCCCUUCAUAUUAUUAAGCUGCUAAAUUAACUAAUCUUGGAAACUUCUAGACUCUACAAUUCUUGUUGUAUGAGAACUUCUAGCAACUAACCCUGGCAUGACCACCAGAAUCUGCAGGGCUGAGAGAAGAAAGAAAGGCAAAAGUGGAUGAAUGCAGCUGAAGAUGCUGUGGAACUCCUAUCACAUUCCAAGUGCUGUGUUGAUAUCUGGAGAUAUAGACAAGAUCGAAGCAGAUGCAGUCUUUCACAUGAAUAUUUGAAUCAGGCAGUAUGUUCCCCAAAUUAGCAAAGUAUCUCCCAGAUUUUUUCUUUGAUGAUAUAUUUGAAAUCCUAAUGCUGAAAGUUAAAUUAUCAGGGUUUUAAAACUAGAAGCAGUCAUUAUCAGAAUUUUAUAUACUAUUUAUUUUUAAGAACGUAAUUUGACUGUUUAAGUCUUAUUAUAAUUUUAAGUGAAGUACUUUGGGCAGUCAUAAAUAAAGUAAUGGGCAGGUAUUUAGU
rnacentral:lncRNA from 10 species